rnacentral:pre_miRNA from 1 species
AAAAAGACAAACUCUGGUUUUUCGUGUCCAACUUUGACUGUCCGUCUUAUAUGAAAUUUUUUUAUAAUUCGUAUUUUCAUUGUUGUUAGAUGAUAAAACAUGAUUUAUAUUUUAUGCGUGACUUGUCUUUUUAAUUUUUUUCAAAUAAGACGGACGGUGAAACGUUGGACACAGAAACCAGGGUUUGUCUUUUU